UUGAACGCUGGCGGCAGGCCUAACACAUGCCAGUCGAGCGGAUGAAGGGAGCUUGCUCCUGGAUUCAGCGGCGGACGGGUGAGUAAUGCCUAGGAAUCUGCCUGGUAGUGGGGGAUAACGUCCGGAAACGGGCGCUAAUACCGCAUACGUCCUGAGGGAGAAAGUGGGGGAUCUUCGGACCUCACGCUAUCAGAUGAGCCUAGGUCGGAUUAGCUAGUUGGUGGGGUAAAGGCCUACCAAGGCGACGAUCCGUAACUGGUCUGAGAGGAUGAUCAGUCACACUGGAACUGAGACACGGUCCAGACUCCUACGGGAGGCAGCAGUGGGGAAUAUUGGACAAUGGGCGAAAGCCUGAUCCAGCCAUGCCGCGUGUGUGAAGAAGGUCUUCGGAUUGUAAAGCACUUUAAGUUGGGAGGAAGGGCAGUAAGUUUAUACCUUGCUGUUUUGACGUUACCAACAGAAUAAGCACCGGCUAACUUCGUG
rnacentral:rRNA from 1 species